UGAAGCCGGAAUUGCUAGUAAUGGCAGGUCAGCAUACUGCCGUGAAUACGUUCCCGGGCCUUGUACACACCGCCCGUCACACCAUGAGAGUUGGGAAUACCCGAAGCCUGUGAGCUAACAUUUAUGAGGCAGCAGUCGAAGGUAGAAUCAAUGAUUGGGGUGAAGUCGUAACAAGGUAUC
rnacentral:rRNA from 1 species